rnacentral:lncRNA from 1 species
CACGAAGAAGCUUAGCUUUUUUCUGUGCCGAAUGUUGUUCGUUGGCAGUGCAGCCAGACCUUAGAGAUCUCAACGAAGCGUCGAGCGGAAUGGUUUCGUUGCCUCUACCGGGGUGACAUUAACACAGACGCUACCCACUACAAAGUCUGCAGCGAGCACUUCGUUUCUGGCAGGCCAUCCUACUUAAUGGAUCUGACGAAUCCGGACUGAGCGCCAAGCUUGCACCUAGGGUAUGACACAAAGUCAACAACUCGGUCUGAAGAAAGGCACCAGCGACGUUGCAAGAGGGCUGCGACCCUUGACUACAAUGCUGAAUGCGCAGCAGAGCGCUGUGAACAGUACUGUCACAAGUAAAAUGGCUUAUUCAUACAAGGUGAAUAUUUUCUUUAAUGACAUUCAGCAUCUUAACAUUUUUGUUUUUAUGCAGGCACACCACUUGCAAGCCGGCAUCCAGGAAGAUUCUUUCAAGAUGACUAUCUGCUGGUGUCCACACAAAAAAGUCGCAAUAGCUGCGCUGGCAAACAAAACGCUGCAUUUGUAUUUUUUGCGUGUAGUAAGCAUGUUGUCGUUUCUGAUUCAGUGUAUUAUCACUAGCAGCAACUUCUAAGCAGCCACUUUUCUGG